AUUGAACGCUGGCGGCAGGCCUAACACAUGCAAGUCGGACGGUAGCACAGAGAGCUUGCUCUCGGGUGACGAGUGGCGGACGGGUGAGUAAUGUCUGGGGAUCUGCCCGAUAGAGGGGGAUAACCACUGGAAACGGUGGCUAAUACCGCAUAACGUCGCAAGACCAAAGAGGGGGACCUUCGGGCCUCUCACUAUCGGAUGAACCCAGAUGGGAUUAGCUAGUAGGCGGGGUAAUGGCCCACCUAGGCGACGAUCCCUAGCUGGUCUGAGAGGAUGACAAGCCACACUGGAACUGAGACACGGUCCAGACUCCUACGGGAGGCAGCAGUGGGGAAUAUUGCACAAUGGGCGCAAGCCUGAUGCAGCCAUGCCGCGUGUAUGAAGAAGGCCUUCGGGUUGUAAAGUACUUUCAGCGGGGAGGAAGGCGAUGCGGUUAAUAACCGUGUCGAUUGACGUUACCCGCAGAAGAAGCACCGGCUAACUCCGUGCCAGCCGCCGCCGUAA
rnacentral:rRNA from 1 species